GCACCUCUCCUAGAUCCCAUUUAAGUGCUGACUGCCACUGAGAGAGGAUCUCUUUCUGGAGGUUACACUUUGUGGAGUUUACUGUGAGUCUACAACACUGUAAUGUCUCCUGUUUGACCUGAUGUCCGUGAUCUGCAGUGACUCUUCUAGAGCAGAUCUGCUGUUAUGUAAAGGACACCACAGGUUUCACAGAAAUUAGGCUGAUUCAUGAGCUCAACCCUCAUAAGACACCCAGGAGCACCAUGGUACAUACCGUGACUGCAGGAAAAGCUCUGGCUAUACUCACACUUUGCAGACCCAAGCAGCUCCAAACAAGCUGCAUGCCAUAGGAAGCAGCCUUCAUCACCUCACAGAGUUGCUUAUUAUGCCCUGUGCCUCACAGGAUUUACUGUCACCUGGUCUGCAUGCGAUGCAGAGCAUUGACCUGGGAGUCAUGAAUCCACAGCUUCUAUUCCUACCUCUGCCUUGGUGACAAGGUGGACUGAUUUCCAUCCAAGUGAUUUAAAUGAGCCACUGGGGAACCUUGAUUUAAAUCAUCACUGUUUGCUUUUUACAUUGGCAGGAGAGGCAGCUUUAAUGAUGUAUGGCCCUACUGCUGUGGCUGAAAUCUAAAUUCCUGGAAUAUUCCCACUAGAUAAUCGCUAAAGUUCAUGCAUUUGCCUCUGGCUAGCGAGCUGCACAGGCAGGAGCCAGCUCUUGGCAAGGCUGGGUGAUUUGGAGCUUCUGCACUUGCGUUGGCAGCCUGAGAUGGGCAGGGAGGUGUGAGGCACCUCCGGGCUUCUGCAGAACAGAGGAGAAAAAGGAUGGGGCUCAGAGAGCUGGGGAGAGCUGGCAGGGCUGUGGGAGGAGCAGUGAGCUGCAGUGGGUUCAGGCAGAAAGCAACCCAGGGCUUUUGGAUCUCCAACCUGUAUCUGGAGGUAUUCAGAGAAAAGCUCCAAGUCUGCAUGGAUGGACAAUUAAUAGAGUAAAUAUGCCAUGAACUAAAUGUGUAUUUUUUUCAUGGUAAUAAUUGACUUUUUUUUGUUAGUAAACAGAUGGUUGAUAAUCAAGCUGUCCUU